UACAUGGGGUGCAAACGUUGCUCGGAAUCAUUGGGCGUAAAGCGCGCGUAGGCGGUUACUUAAGUCGGAUGUGAAAGCCCCCGGCUCAACUGGGGAGGGUCACGCGAUACUGAUCGACUCGAAGGCAGGAGAGGGUAGUGGAAUUCCCGGUGUAGUGGUGAAAUGACGUAGAUAUCGGGAGGAACACCAGUGGCGAAGGCGACUACCUGGCCUGUUCUUGACGCUGAGGCGCGAAAGCUAAGGGGAGCAAACGGGG
rnacentral:rRNA from 1 species